UACAGAGGGUGCGAGCGUUAAUCGGAGUGAUUGGGCGUAAAGGGCUUGUAGGCGGUUAUAUUAGUCUGAUGUGAAAGACCUGGGCUUAACCUGGGAGCCGCAUUGGAAACGGUAUAACUAGAGUAUGGGAGAGGGAAGUGGAAUUUCCGGUGUAGCGGUGAAAUGCGUAGAGAUCGGAAAGAACACUCGUGGCGAAGGCGGCUUUCUGGCCCAAAACUGACGCUGAGGUGCGAAAGCAUGGGGAGCAAACAGG
rnacentral:rRNA from 1 species